rnacentral:lncRNA from 1 species
AGAAAAACAUUUAUUUAAUCAACAGUUCUUUUUGCAUGAAACGGUUUGUAUAUAAAUAUAUCGUUUUGAGAUAAAUUUUAAAAUUACAAGAAAACUUGAACAAUAAUCUUAUAGAUAAUUUUCAAGAUAAGAUAGAUAAGGAUGAAACCAUCAGUAAGGACAAGCAUGUAUAUGACUAUUUUCUUAGUUCUUGCAAUUUCGCAACUUAGCUCAGCAGCGGACUGCUCUACUGAUCAGUGUGGAGAUAACGGCUAUUCAAUCCUAUGUUAUCAAGGCUAUAGAGCAGUCUAUGAACGGUGCACUUGCUGCAUUAAAUGUGAACAAGUUUUAGAACUAGGAGACAGUUGCCAAGUUAGAGCGCCUCAAAAUGAAUAUGACAAUGGAAACGGAAUAAUCUACGAAAAUUUUAGCUAUCCCCAUUGUGGACCAGGUCUGGUUUGCAGUUCGGCUACCAAGACAUGCCAACGCAGAACUGGCUAAUUAUUAUACAUUGUUUCUAUUUGAUUUGGAUGACUUAGAAUCCUAUAAAUGUAAAAUUAUUCCAAAGUUGGUUGAAUUAAAUUAGUGUUUUAAAAAACUC